UCUGGGAUUCCUGUGGUGAACGACCCCAGUCUCUUUCAACUUUUAUCUUCACAUCCGGGACUUUUUGUAUCGAAGGUCCUCUUUGAUCAUCCAUCUUGAAAGGWCAUCUAAUCCUUUCAUCAUGAGAGAUAAGUGGAAGAAGAAGCGCAUGAGGAGACUAAAGCGCAAAAGAAGAAAGAUGAGAGCAAGGUCCAAGUAAAUGCAUACUAAAGACAAGUAACUUCCAAAAUACUCCUUGUUGCGUGGAGCUGGGAAAGAUCAAACACAAACUUGGAAGGGAAAUGUUGUACRAACAGUUGAACUUUGGACUGCAAGACAUGYUUUGAAGAUGAGAUAUUUUGUAUUAUUGUGUAUUCAAGAACUACUGAUUAACUUUCUGCAAGAUGUGGACAAGAAUGUUAGAAUGUUACAGCAUUGCUAGUAUUCUGGAAGCUAUUGGUCUACAAUUCCAUCUUGUAUUCCUGUCUUAGUAUUAAAAUUCUUUCAAAUGUAA